AGCGAACGCUGGCGGCAGGCCUAACACAUGCAAGUCGAACGAACCUUUCGGGGUUAGUGGCGGACGGGUGAGUAACACGUGGGAACGUGCCUUUAGGUUCGGAAUAACUCAGGGAAACUUGUGCUAAUACCGAAUGUGCCCUUCGGGGGAAAGAUUUAUCGCCUUUAGAGCGGCCCGCGUCUAAUUAGCUAGUUGGUUGAGGUAAUGGCUCACCAAGGCGACGAUCAGUAGCUGGUCUGAGAGGAUGAUCAGCCACAUUGGGACUGAGACACGGCCCAAACUCCUACGGGAAGCAGCAGUGGGGAAUCUUGCGCAAUGGGCGAAAGCCUGACGCAGCCAUGCCGCGUGAAUGAUGAAGGUCUUAGGAUUGUAAAAUUCUUUCACCGGGGACGAUAAUGACGGUACCCGGAGAAGAAGCCCCGGCUAACUUCGUG
rnacentral:rRNA from 1 species